rnacentral:rRNA from 1 species
UGAGGAAUAUUGGUCAAUGGGCGAGAGCCUGAACCAGCCAAGUCGCGUGAGGGAAGACGGCCCUACGGGUUGUAAACCUCUUUUGUCAGGGAGCAAGAACAGGCACGUGUGCCUGACUGAGAGUACCUGAAGAAAAAGCAUCGGCUAACUCCGUGCCAGCAGCCGCGGUAAUACGGAGGAUGCGAGCGUUAUCCGGAUUUAUUGGGUUUAAAGGGUGCGUAGGCGGACUGCCAAGUCAGCGGUAAAAUAGCGGGGCUCAACCCCGUCGAGCCGUUGAAACUGGUGGUCUUGAGUGGGCGAGAAGUACGCGGAAUGUGUGGUGUAGCGGUGAAAUGCAUAGAUAUCACGCAGAACUCCGAUUGCGAAGGCAGCGUACCGGCGCCCGACUGACGCUGAAGCACGAAAGCGUGGGUAUCGAACAGGAUUAGAUACCCUGGUAGUCCACGCAGUAAACGAUGAAUGCUAGCUGUCCGGGACGAAUGAGUCCUGGGUGGCACAGCGAAAGCGUUAAGCAUUCCACCUGGGGAGUACGCCGGCAACGGUGAAACUCAAAGGAAUUGACGGGGGCCCGCACAAGCGGAGGAACAUGUGGUUUAAUUCGAUGAUACGCGAGGAACCUUACCCGGGCUCAAACGCACUACGAAUGAUGCUGAAAGGUGUCAGCCAGCAAUGGCGUAGUGCGAGGUGCUGCAUGGUUGUCGUCAGCUCGUGCCGUGAGGUGUCGGCUUAAGUGCCAUAACGAGCGCAACCCCUACCGACAGUUGCUAACUGGUCAAGCAGAGGACUCUGUCGGGACUGCCGGCGCAAGCUGUGAGGAAGGCGGGGAUGACGUCAAAUCAGCACGGCCCUUACGUCCGGGGCGACACACGUGUUACAAUGGCAGGUACAGCGGGAAGCCACCUGGCGACAGGGAGCGGAACCCGAAAACCUGUCUCAGUUCGGAUUGGAGUCUGCAACCCGACUCCAUGAAGCUGGAUUCGCUAGUAAUCGCGCAUCAGCCAUGGCGCGGUGAAUACGUUCCC